rnacentral:rRNA from 1 species
UACGUAGGGUGCAAGCGUUGUCCGGAAUCAUUGGGCGUAAAGCGCGCGUAGGUGGCUUCGUAAGUCCGUUGUGAAAGUCAAAGGCUCAACCUUUGAAUGCCGAUGGAUACUGCGAAGCUAGAGUACGGAAGAGGCGAGUGGAAUUCCUGGUGUAGCGGUGGAAUGCGCAGAUAUCAGGAGGAACACCAAUAGCGAAGGCAGCUCGCUGGGACGU